rnacentral:misc_RNA from 1 species
UGUUUGGCAUUAAAUUUUAAUAAUUCUGCAUCUAUAUUCCGGGAUGGUAUGAAAAUGUUAUAUUUUGAUUUAGUACACUUUCAUUCUUCGUCUGGACUAGGUAAUAAAAGUCAAAAAAUUUGGAUUAUCACAUCUUUGUUAGUGCGCCGGUGGUGUGUGCGAUUUUAUUUUUAAGUGAGAAUACCAGGACUCAAGAUUCAUUUCCCGCUGAUGUCAUACGGCAGCGAGACGCCGCACGUUUGGAGCAGCUCAUCUGGCAGUGAGGUGUCUCCAUACGGAUCGCUUUGGGACGCGCCACCAGCGCCGGUGGCCUACCCCGACAUCCUGGCUUUUCCACCUGCUGAUUUGGUAUGGUCGACGGCAGGAUGUGGUCGGGGAUCCUCUCGAUCGACUCCAGGAGGUAAGAAGCCGAGGCGGCGCGUGGCGUCCGUCGCACAGCGUCGCGCGGCCAACAUCCGCGAACGCCGUCGGAUGUUCAAUCUCAACGAGGCUUUCGACAAAUUACGUCGAAAGGUACCAACAUUUGCAUACGAAAAGCGACUCUCCCGCAUUGAAACUUUGCGUUUAGCGAUCACUUACAUAAGUUUCAUGUGCGAGUUGCUCCACGGGUCGCCGCAGCCCCAUCAUCCUUCACAUUCGUCACUGCACCCCCCGCGCCACGUGUUCGAUGCUGAAGUACCUUGGUGCUCUUAAAUGUUACUUAAACUUUUAAGGUCACUAUGAGUACUUUUGAUUCUAAGGGACUUACCGCAAUUGUUAUCUUAACUCUCCCGACCACGAAGUAUUUCCAGAGCUGUCAAUAGCAACAAAACUUCCCGCGUAAGGAUUUAAAUGAGUACUUCUUGAUAAAUAGCGCGCUCUACCGGCAAAAAUUCUAUCCCCUAAAUUUCAAAAUUCGUUCAACAUUACGUUCGGACUCCUUGUCUUGAGAGUUUCAAAAUAACAAUCCCGGAACAACAAAAUAAAAGUCCCUUAGAAUCAAAAAUGUUACUUGGUUACAAAUUAUGUAUACCAGUCUAUUUAUUUUUUAUACUUCGCAGUACUUUUAAUUUUUCUUUAGAAAACUAAUCUUAAAUAAAUAAAAGAAAAUCGUUUAUAGGUUCAAAAAAAAUUUUUUUUUGUUUAAAUAUUUGUUUGUUCUAUGUUUUUUUGGGCUGUCGUAGUUAUAUUUAAAAAAAUAGUUAUAUACCGAAAUUAAAAAAAAAAAAACAAUAUUAAUUUAAUAUAUUUAAAUGUCUUAUAUAGCAUCCUGAGAUGCACUACCCAUGAUAAUGUAAUAUACUAGUCUUACAUUUUACUGAUACAAAUAAUAACUUGUAUUUAUAUUCGUUUCUCGACAUAGUCGUUAAUUACUCAUAGACCAAGAAGUCUUCCACUAGUUUUAAGGAUUAUUUAUUUUAUUUAUAAUAUUACAAAUGUACUUUAUUAUAGUAUUGUAGUAUCGAACUUUAAUGAUAGUAAUUAUUAAUUAGGACACGAAACCAACUAUCGGUUACUGUCGCUAUAUUUAUUAAUAAAAAUAAAUGAAUAUAAAAAUAGAUUUUAUUUUUAAACGAAACAAAUCCUAGUCAAAUGAGUUGAUUACCACAUUAAGGUUGUUAAAUUGUAAGUUAUCUUAAUUUGUUUAUUUUAUUUAUUUAUACUUUAUUGUUACACCACAACUACAUUUUAAACAAUAAACACAUUUAAAAAAUAUUUACAGACUGUGAAGUACAAUGACUUAUGGCUAUUUAGCCAUUUUUUCCAGACAACCCAAUUUGUUGUAAUAUGGAAAUGUACUUGUUUCUAUAAUAAAUAAAAAAUAUUUAAUUUUACAUGUUUGAACUGUUCCAUCGACCCCGUUACGUGUAAUGACUCGUAACAAUCGAAAUAAAAAAAUAAUGACGUUGGUGUACGUAAUUUUGGAACCGUAAAGUAACGGAAUAAAGAAAAAAAAAAUAAGUAAACGUCGAUUAUCAUCAAAAAUCACUUCGCUUCAGCCUGUAAUAUUCCAUUGCUGGGCAUAGGCC